rnacentral:rRNA from 1 species
UACGGAGGGUGCAAGCGUUAUCCGGAUUCACUGGGUUUAAAGGGUGCGUAGGUGGGCAGGUAAGUCAGUGGUGAAAUCUCCGAGCUUAACUCGGAAACUGCCAUUGAUACUAUCUGUCUUGAAUUUUCUGGAGGUAAGCGGAAUAUGUCAUGUAGCGGUGAAAUGCUUAGAUAUGACAUAGAACACCCAUUGCGAAGGCAGCUUACUACGGGAUAAUUGACACUGAGGCACGAAAGCGUGGGGGAUCAAAACAGG